GACAGAGGGGGCAAGCGUUGCUCGGAAUUACUGGGCGUAAAGGGCGCGCAGGCGGCGCAUUUUGUCAGGCGUGAAAGCCCCGGGCUUAACCUGGGAACUGCAUUUGUGACUGCAUAGCUAGAGUACGGUAGAGGGGGAUGGAAUUCCGCGUGUAGCAGUGAAAUGCGUAGAUAUGCGGAGGAACACCGAUGGCGAAGGCAAUCCCCUGGACCUGUACUGACGCUCAUGCACGAAAGCGUGGGGAGCAAACAGG
rnacentral:rRNA from 1 species